rnacentral:rRNA from 1 species
GACGAACGCUGGCGGCGUGCUUAACACAUGCAAGUCGAACGGUGACGAGGAGCUUGCUCCUCUGAUCAGUGGCGAACGGGUGAGUAACACGUGAGCAACCUGCCCCUCACUCUGGGAUAACACUUGGAAACAGGUGCUAAUACCGGAUACGACACAGACAGGCAUCUGUACUGUGUGGAAAGUUUUUCGGUGAGGGAUGGGCUCGCGGCCUAUCAGUUAGUUGGUGGGGUAAUGGCCUACCAAGACGACGACGGGUAGCCGGCCUGAGAGGGCGACCGGCCACACUGGGACUGAGACACGGCCCAGACUCCUACGGGAGGCAGCAGUGGGGAAUAUUGCACAAUGGGCGAAAGCCUGAUGCAGCGACGCCGCGUGAGGGAUGACGGCCUUCGGGUUGUAAACCUCUUUCAGCAGGGAAGAAGCGCAAGUGACGGUACCUGCAGAAGAAGCACCGGCUAACUACGUG